rnacentral:rRNA from 1 species
UACGAAGGGGGCUAGCGUUGUUCGGAUUUACUGGGCGUAAAGCGCACGUAGGCGGAUCGAUCAGUCAGGGGUGAAAUCCCAGAGCUCAACUCUGGAACUGCCUUUGAUACUGUCGAUCUGGAGUAUGGAAGAGGUGAGUGGAAUUCCGAGUGUAGAGGUGAAAUUCGUAGAUAUCGUAAGGAAGACCAGUGGCGAAGGCGGGUCUCUGGACAGUUCCUGACGCUGAGGCACGAAGGUCAGGGGAGCAAACGGG